UAGGCUUUCAACUCAUUGGGGAUACAUAUACUGGGAUAUGACCGAUUUUUGUUCUUUAACUUUACAGCUUGCGUGGUUUACAGGUUGAACAUCACAAAGUUAUAGCCUAACAAUAAGUAAAGGUAUAAUCAAGACCAACACAGCGGCUUUGUUAUGGUGCAAGAUCCUCUUCUGGUUAUCGGUGACAAAAUAGUUUUAGUUACCAAAGACCGGAUUCUGAAUAAAACUGUAACACGAGAAUUAACGAACGCCGCUGUAGGAAAAAUGUAUCUCUAAGGCGAUCAGCUGGUGCCAACAAAUGCAGUGCCUGGAGGGUCUCAGCGCCGCUCGGCUCAGGUGGAACAUAGGCAACACAAAGGCAACACAGGAGCUCCGGGAAGCGUGUGAACUUCGUCGUCCCGUUCAGCUUUACUCCAGCGGGGAGCUUUCAUCCACCGUUACUGGACUGCAACGAGGCGAACUCCCUCCUGCAACUCAGCGUCCAGACUUGCCUCACGCUUCUGUCGUUGUCAUACAAACUUCUGCGUUGCGUCCCUGUGCUUGAAGGUGAAGUUUGGGAAAGUGCGUGUAGAUCGAGGGAGUGAGCGUUGGCGGAGAGAUUGACUGUUCCUACAUGACUUGGAACACCUGCCCAAACACUCAUCAAGGGGGAGUUUUAAGUCUGCACGAUGGUUCUUUUUGUAGGAAUUAUUAUUAUUAUUAUUAUUAUUUAUUUAUUUUAUUUUUUUUGCAAAUUUGGGUUUGGUAAGUCUUUUUGUUUAUCAUUAUAUUGAACUUAACGAAGAAUUACGUACUUAGGUUCCCUUGAGAUGACUUUGUUGUAGCAAUGUAAGUUUUGAUAAGUUGAAUUUCGAUGUUCUUCUUUGGGCAACUUUGACAAUGCAUCUCUAUUUGUGAGAAGAGUAAGUUGUGGAGUCUCUUUUUUAUGUAAAUAAAACUAGGAAUUUAGUCGAUCUAUUCUGUUAUCGGAGUUAAUUUCACCAGGAACUGUUUGAAUUCUUGUGAGAUGCGACGGUCGUUGUGUUCCUUCCUUGCUUGAUAUUGGCGAGAUUUUCAUAUUAAUUAGGUAAAACAUGCACUCAUUUUUUCUUUUUAUUAUUAUUUUCAGGAUGAAUCUGAUGAUAAAUUACUUCGACUGGAGUGAGGUGAGUACAUUGCUGCUCCUUUGUUUUCUCGACAAUUAUAGGUUUUCGGUACACAGAUAGUUACUUAACUGAAUGACUGACUGACUUAUUGCUUUAUGAUACCUCAUCAAAGUGCACGGGUGGGUGUACAGUACGAAGCUUACGGUGCAACAUUUACGCACAGUCGUAAGUCGUAUCAAUUCAGAGUUGCCUGCUUUUCCUGCUCUAAUUUGUUAUGCUGUUAAUGUCAUCAUGCUUCAUUUGUAUCCGCAGUUAGUUAAAAAUAAUGGUUUGUUUCCCGGUGAGUGGCGUCAGGUGAAAAUUACCUGAAAUUACUACUGUUUUGAAAGUAUUAUAUUCUGUAAUCUGUGCAAAAAACAUUAAUGAUUAAUUUCCAUCCUGACGUGCAAUUACUCGUAACGAGUUUCUUUGUGUGUGUGUGUGUGUGUGUGCUGUGUGUGUGUGUGUGUGUGUGUGUGUGUGUGUGUGUGUGUGUGUGUAAGUGGGCAUGUGUGGGCGUAACAUAACCAUCAAACAUUAUAUUUUAUGGCAAUCGCUUAGAACUUUAGACGACUAUGUAUAAAAACCAGAGAAAAUUUCCAGGACUCACUGUGCAUACUGAAUGAAGCCUUUGUCCAUCACAGGUCUCCACAAAAUGCGAGGAAGUAGUUAAUUAGUGUAACCAUACAAUUAACACCACUUUGCUAAGAAUCACAACUAUUAAGGGAAGGAGUAUUGUCCAUCACGUUAGAAAUUAUGUUUGUAUCCGAUGAAUUGAUUACUGACAGAGACUCGUGUGAUUUUUUUUCUUGUAUUUUUAUUAGUUUGUAGAAUGGCACGGCAACUCAUGCAUGGUAUUGUUUUGUGUACUGUCUGUCCAUCGCUUGUUUUUAUUUUUUAUGCGUACCUUUUCGUUAAUAUGCAUGAACUAAAACUCAUUUCCUGCACAGCUUUCGUGUACGUGCAUGUAUUUGUUAGAUUCCAGCAAACUCUCUCUCUCUCUCUCUCUCUCUCUCUCUCUCUCUCUCUCUCUCUCUCUCUCUCUCUCUCUCUCUCUCUCUCUCUCUCUCUCUCA